rnacentral:rRNA from 1 species
AUUGAACGCUGGCGGAAUGCUUUACACAUGCAAGUCGAGCGGCAGCGCGGGGGCAACCCUGGCGGCGAGCGGCGAACGGGUGAGUAACAUAUCGGAACGUACCCCGUCGUGGGGGAUAACACAGCGAAAGCUGUGCUAAUACCGCAUACGACCUGAGGGUGAAAGCGGGGGAUCGCAAGACCUCGCGCGAUGGGAGCGGCCGAUAUCGGAUUAGCUUGUUGGUGAGGUAAAGGCUCACCAAGGCGACGAUCCGUAGCUGGUCUGAGAGGACGACCAGCCACACUGGAACUGAGACACGGUCCAGACUCCUACGGGAGGCAGCAGUGGGGAAUUUUGGACAAUGGGGGCAACCCUGAUCCAGCCAUUCCGCGUGAGUGAAGAAGGCCUCGGUUGU